UGGGCAUUUCCUGACUAUUGGCCAGAUCC
rnacentral:piRNA from 1 species